GAUGAACGCUGGCGGCGUGCCUAAUACAUGCAAGUCGAGCGAACGGACGAGAAGCUUGCCUCUCUGAUGUUAGCGGCGGACGGGUGAGUAACACGUGGAUAACCUACCUAUAAGACUGGGAUAACUUCGGGAAACCGUAGCUAAUACCGGAUAAUAUUUUGAACCGCAUGGUUCAAAAGUUAAAUACGGUCUUGCUGUCACUUAUAGAUGGAUCCGCGCUGCAUUAGCUAGUUGGUAAGGUAACGGCUUACCAAGGCAACGAUGCAUAGCCGACCUGAGAGGGUGAUCGGCCAAACGGGAACUGAGACACGGACAAGACGACGACGGGAGGCAGCAGAAGGGAAUAUUCCGCAAUGGGCGAAAGCCUGACGGAGCAACGCCGCGUGAGUGAUGAAGGACUUCGGAUCGUAAAACUAUGUUAUUAGGGAAGAAAAAAUGUGAAAGUAAAUGUGCACAGCGUGACGGUAACUAAUAAGAAAGCAACGGCUAACUACGUG
rnacentral:rRNA from 1 species